rnacentral:rRNA from 1 species
UCCCAGCACCCCGAGUGGUCGGGACGAUUAUUGGGCCUAAAGCAUCCGUAGCCGGUCAUGCAAGUCCUCCGUUAAAUCCACCUGCUUAACAGAUGGGCUGCGGAGGAUACUACAAGGCUAGGAGGCGGAAGAGGCAAGCGGUACUCAGUGGGUAGGGGUAAAAUCCUCUGAUCCAUUGAAGACCACCAGUGGCGAAGGCGGCUUGCCAAUACGCGCUCGACGGUGAGGGAUGAAAGCUGGGGGAGCAAACCGG